rnacentral:lncRNA from 1 species
CAAUAUAACUAUCAAACACCAAACUACUAUGGACACCCAUAGUAUCAUCACACAUGCACCACGAAAGCUUCUAAUGAGGCUAGUAAAUCAUCCUCAUAAUUCAUGAACGUAGCAUGGUUCUCUAUACACUAGCUUAUACACACACACACAGAGCUCAACAGAAAACUCCCAAGCAUACUCAAAAUUCUGGGACUUUAUCAACUGCAGGGUAAACUUUGAAAAAUCACUGACUUGUCAAUUUACAUUGGAAUAAGCUGAAACUUUCCAGAUCAAUAGUUCUCAUAUAGAAGAACAAGAGUACAAAGUUUCAGACCAAAAUGAGUCUUAAAUCCUUAUCAAAUUCAGACCACAAUUUCAGCACAAAGCACUUAAUUCAAUAAAAUCAUCAUAAUUCAUCUAUCUUAUCAAAUAACACCAAAAUUUGCAGACCAAGAGUAAACAUAAGGAAGAACAAGAGCACAAAAUUUCAAGCCAAACGAAGACCCAAAACCCAAUCAAAUACGAAGCAACUGAACUGUUGAACACAAACACAAUUUCCAGCGCAGUGUACCCAACAUCAAAAAUUCACCAUGAAUCAUCUACCUUAUCAAACAACACCAAACUUUCCAGAUCAAGGGUAAUCACAUGGAAGGACAAGGGUACAAAGUUUCAAGCCAAACGGAGUCCUCAAUCCUAAUGAAAUUCGAACUCAAGACAGCUACACCGCAUAACACCAAAAGUUUCAGCACAAAACACUUAUUAGCCAUUCACUAUAAUUUAACUACACUUAUUACCAAAUAAACAUCACAUGAAAUAUGCAACUGUAUGCAAGUACUUCAAUUCAACACUAUUUUCUUCAAUUCAUACCACUCAUGCAAUUCAAAGUACCAACUUCAUUGCCACAAACACAAGGCCAAAACUCAACAAUUGUAAAAUAAUUUUAAUCCAAAUUCCCAACUGUAUGCAGUCACCAAAACUCAUGCAAUUCAAAGUAAGAUACAUAUACAUACAUACCACAUAAUCAUAACAUGUCUUAUACCAAAAUUGAAUUAAUAGCAAGUACUUGUCCUUCUAUCUCAUAACCAAAACUGAAUUUAUACCUUGUACUUAUCCGAAUCAAAAUGAGUGCAAAGCCACUCCCACUCAUCCCGCCUGUGCAAAAGCUCUUCCGGAAUCAUAUCUCUCCCCCCGAGAUUGUGAAUCUCAGACAAGUCAUGCUCCCAUUCACGGAAUACACUUGCCGCCCUUUUAUUGAUCCAUUUAAUGGCUUUUAUAUCAUUAAAAUCAAUGAUAAAAAAACACUGCAGGACAUAGAAAAUUAACAAGUUAUAAUUAAGUUGCAAUGAUGCAUGGAAUCAAAAUACCAACAAAAUUAAAAGAACUGAAAGUUAUGACUUAACUUACAGUGAGACCGUCAAAAAGCUUCUUCCUUUCCUCCUUGUCUAAAUCA